GACGAACGCUGGCGGCGUGCCUAAUACAUGCAAGUUGAGCGCUGAAGGCUGGUACUUGUACCAACUGGAUGAGCAGCGAACGGGUGAGUAACGCGGGGGGAAUCUGCCUUUGAGCGGGGGACAACAUUUGGAAACGAAUGCUAAUACCGCAUAAAAACUUUAAACACAAGUUUUAAGUUUGAAAGAUGCAAUUGCAUCACUCAAAGAUGAUCCCGCGUUGUAUUAGCUAGUUGGUGAGGUAAAGGCUCACCAAGGCGAGGAUACAUAGCCGACCUGAGAGGGGGCUCGGCCACAUUGGGACUGAGACACGGCCCAAACUACUGCGAGAGGCAGCAGUAGGGAAUCUUCGGCAAUGGACGAAAGUCUGACCGAGCAACGCCGCGUGAGAGAAGAAGGUUUUCGGAUCGUAAAACUCUGUUGGUAGAGAAGAACGUUGGUGAGAGUGGAAAGCUCAUCAAGUGACGGUAACUACACAGAAAGGGACGGCUAACUACGUG
rnacentral:rRNA from 1 species